GAUGAACGCUGGCGGCGUGCCUAAUACAUGCAAGUCGAGCGAACAGACGAGGAGCUUGCUCCUCUGACGUUAGCGGCGGACGGGUGAGUAACACGUGGAUAACCUACCUAUAAGACUGGGAUAACUUCGGGAAACCGGAGCUAAUACCGGAUAAUAUAUUGAACCGCAUGGUUCAAUAGUGAAAGACGGUUUUGCUGUCACUUAUAGAUGGAUCCGCGCCGCAUUAGCUAGUUGGUAAGGUAACGGCUUACCAAGGCAACGAUGCGUAGCCGACCUGAGAGGGUGAUCGGCCACACUGGAACUGAGACACGGUCCAGACUCCUACGGGAGGCAGCAGUAGGGAACCUUCCGCAAUGGGCGAAAGCCUGACGGAGCAACGCCGCGUGAGUGAUGAAGGUCUUCGGAUCGUAAAACUCUGUUAUUAGGGAAGAACAAAUGUGUAAGUAACUAUGAACGUCUUGACGGUACCUAAUCAGAAAGCCACGGCUAACUACGUG
rnacentral:rRNA from 1 species